AUGACGUUUCACCACUUGGUCAGAAGGAGUAAGAUUUGUUCCCGUUUAACGACCAAGCGAGGCACCUCCCACGCGGCUCCCCUUUCUUCUUCCUCCUCUCUCCCGUUUCUUUCCCAACGUACGCCGGCCAAACUGUCCGUCGCCAACGUCAUCGAAGCCAAGGAGGUAAGCCAGAGAAACAGCCCCGGCGAUGGGGACCCGGACUUGCUCUCCCGGUUCACGGCGGCCAUGGGCGAGGAUGACGGCGGCGGCAAGCUCCCCACCGUGUUCCACAUGCCGGAAGCCAAGCGCCGGUUCCCGCGGGACGUGGUUGUCAGCUUCAUUUUGGCCGGUGAGUAUACGACGACCUCCGGCCUGACAUGGUUCUUCUGGAUCCUCGCCGCGAACCCGCGGUGCGAGCAGCCUGUCCACUAUGAGGUCUCGCGGUCGCCGGACGGCAACGUGUAA
rnacentral:rRNA from 1 species